rnacentral:rRNA from 1 species
CACGUAGGCACCAAGCGUUGUCCGGAUUUAUUGGGCGUAAAGAGCUCGUAGGCGGUUCAGUAAGUCGGGUGUGAAAACUCUGGGCUCAACCCAGAGACGCCACCCGAUACUGCUGUGACUUGAGUCCGGUAGGGGAGUGGGGAAUUCCUGGUGUAGCGGUGAAAUGCGCAGAUAUCAGGAGGAACACCGGUGGCGAAGGCGGCACUCUGGGCCGGUACUGACGCUGAGGAGCGAAAGCGUGGGUAGCAAACAGG